rnacentral:rRNA from 1 species
ACGUAGGAGACGAGCGUUAUCCGGAUUUACUGGGCGUAAAGCGCGUGCAGGCGGUUUUUUAAGUCACUUGUGAAAGCGCCCGGCUUAACCGGGAGAGGACGUGCGAGACUGUCGGACUAGAGGCAGGUAGAGGCAAGUGGAAUUCCGGGUGUAGUGGUGAAAUGCGUAGAGAUCCGGAGGAACCCCGGUGGCGAAGGCGACUUGCUGGGCCUGAACUGACGCUCAGACGCGAAAGCAUGGGGAGCGAACGG